GAUACCUGUAGAGCAUCUUUAUAGUCACCCAGUUACGUUGCGAUGUUUGAUACACACAAAGUAUUCCUCCGGUGUCAGUGAGUUAUAUGAUCUCAUGGUCAUAGGAAUAAAUACUUGACACGCAGAAAACAGUAGCAACAAAAUGACACGAUCAACAUGCUACGUCUAUUAGUUUGGGUCUAGUCCAUCACGUGAUUCUCCUAAUGACGUGAUCCAGUUAUCAAGCAACAACACCUUGUUCAUAAUCAGAAG
rnacentral:lncRNA from 1 species